AUGUAUUCAUCAGGUAUGAAAGGCUGAUCACCUUCAUUACCAGUCAGUUCAGAUAUAAUUGUUAUGUUCAUUUUCAAUGUUCAUUCAGCUUUGAAAUUUUGUUCAUGCUAAUUCACAACUACAUUGUGAAGGAUAGCCAGCUUAUUAUUCAAACUCUUUCAAUCAUGAUAUAUCUUUACCUUAUUUUUUUUAAACUUGCUGGGCAACUUUCAUGCUCACCCUUGCUAUAUCAUGAUAAAACAUUGCAGAUAAGGCGAAUACGGCCAGAUACAGGAAAAGGAUAAUGGCAAGUUCAGCUUGGGAUAGAAUGUGAAGUUAAGUUGUAAAGUAUGUUGAAGAAUAGUAUUGUCAUGUGUUAGACAGUUCAUGAUUGUGUAUUAGUUAAGGUUACUCGAUUUUGGGAAUAGUGUGUAAAGUUUAAUAUAUAAACAAUCUAUGUUUAUAUCUUCCGCAAACAGUUGUAGAAUGAUUGAACCGGAUCCGCGGCGAUUCGGGACCCGGAUCUGGGGAUGCUACAACUAAGACUCACAAGAGCAAUUGUAAAGAGAGAAGCUAUAGAGAGAAAGAAGAAGAGAAGUCUGCUACUUCACUAUUCCAGUAUCCAGUCUUCUUCUGAGGUAAGGGGUAUUAUUUAUUUCAUAUUCCGAAGAGAUAUUAUUUUUUGUAUUUGUAAGAAUAUUAUUUUCGUUCAAUAUUCG
rnacentral:lncRNA from 1 species